AUAAGCUGGUACGAGCUGGUGCUGGGAAGGUCGUGAUCGCGUGAGGUCAUGGGUUGGACCAGCAGUGAAAGGGAAUCCGGUGAAACUCCGGAACUGCCCCGCAGCGGUGAAUGGGAACGAGAUCACCAUUGACGCCAUCCCGUCCGGGAUGACGGCAAUCAAGCACUGGGCUUCGGCCCCGGGAAGCGGUGACGUAGGACUCGUCAACGACGAGACGCCCAUGAGUCCGAAGACCUGCCAGCAUGUUGCCGCACCCG
rnacentral:ncRNA from 22 species